AGUUCAAAUAUGAACAUUGAAGCAAAAUCUAAAAGCAUAGAAACAUUCCUUGAUGCAGAGCCUACAAUGCAACUACCAUCAUAUUUAGAAUCUAUUCAAGGACAAAAUGGUCUCGGCGAUUCAUAUCCCACCUCAUUUAUGGAUUUGAUGAGAGCUGCUUCAUAUCCAUACCAAUAAGGUUUUUAACCUGCGGGUUAGCUAUAAGUUUUGGAGUUUCAAGUCAUAAAAGAUGCCCGGAGACACAAUUAUGCUGCUCUUAGUUCAGUUUUUUUUUUCUUUUGGGUUAAAAAUAAUAAUAGGCAACUGAUUCACUCGUCUAACAGAGUAGUUGCUUGACAAGCAGUUCUUUUAUUUGACUUUUGUGUUUAGUAAUUAAAGAUAAUCAAGUUUUCUGUCUUUCUGUUGGGUAUUAUCUUCUGUUGAGAUCACGAUUCCAUUGUGUUCAAACCACCUGUUAUGCUUUAGGUUCAUGUCGUCAAGUUUUAAGCAAUCAACAUCCUGUCUGAUUUAAUUCUCAAUAUUGCGGCAGAAAGCUUUUUUUCUUAAUUUAUGAAGGAAGACCAGCUCCUGGCAAAGAGCUCAUAGAUGAGUUCAAUGUUCUGGAGGCUAAUAUGUGGAAU